CCUACGGGUGGCCGCCGUGGGGAAUAUUUGUCAAUGGACGAGAGUCUGAAACCGCCAAGUAGCGUGAAGGAUGAAUGCCCCAUGGGUUGUAAACUUCUUUUAUAUGGGAAUAAAAUGUUCCAAGUGUGGGCUUUUGUAUGUACCAUAUGAAUAAGGAUCGGCUAACUCCGGGCCCGGCGCCGCGGUAAUACGGAGGAUCCGGGGGUUAUCCGGAUUUAUUGGGUUUUAAGGGAGCGUAGGUGGGUUGUUAAGUCAGUUGUGAAAGUUUGCGGCUCAACCGUAAAAUUGCAAUUGAUACUGGCAGUCUUGAGUACAGUAGAGGUGGGCGGAAUUCGUGGUGUAGCGGUGAAAUGCUUAGAUAGCACGAAGAACUCCGAUUGCGAAGGCAGCUCACUGGACUGCAACUGACACUGAGGCUCGAAAGUGUGGGUAUCAAACAGGAUUAGAUACCCCUGUAGUC
rnacentral:rRNA from 1 species